GCUGGGUGCGGUGGCAUGUGCCUGUAGUCCCAGCUACUCAGGAGGCUGAGAUUGGAGGAUCACUUGAGCCCAGGAGUUCUGGGCUAUAGUGUGCUAUGCCAAUCGGGUGUCCGCACUAAUUUUGGCAUCAAUAUGGUGAUCUCCCAGGAGCAGGGGACCACCAGGUUGUCAAAUGAGGGGUGAACCAGCCUGGGUCAGAUACGGAGCAGGUCAAAACUCCCGUGCUGAUCAGUAGUGGGAUCGUGCCUGUGAAUAGCCACUACGCUCCAGCCUGGGCAGCAUAGCGAGACCCCGUCUCU
rnacentral:SRP_RNA from 1 species